UAGAGGUCAAGGUCCAGUGAGAAGACAAAGAACAUCAGCUGGGUGUCUGACUCAAUGGCAGAGUGUCUGCCUUACGUACAUGAGGUCUGGGUUUGAUCUCCAGUGCCACAGAACAACAACAACAAAAAUAACAUAAGGCUGCUGAGCUCCUCAAAUAAAAAGGCUGAACAAGUCUAAUUCCACACAAAGACCAGCACCAGAGACCUAACGAACUAUGACGUAGAACAAGGAUUCAUUCACUGAUGCCAAAGGGAUUGGAGGAGCAUGAUGAUGAUGAUGAUGAUUGAUGAUGAUCAUGGUGAUGGUGUUGCCAUAGGACUACAGGUGCUAUGCCUGCAGAAAAGGUGCAAUUAAUCUGCGACACUGGGAAAAAUUCUAUACUCUAUGAAAAGGAGAAAACCAACCACUAAAGGGGUAACAAUUACGAGGCAUUUUUUGAAGCCAAAACUCUAGUCUGAUCAAAUAUAUAUAUAUAUCUGUUUGCCUACCAAUCAUCAUCUUGCAGUAAGAGCCUAAGCACUGAGUUAAAUUGGUCCUUUUUAUAUUUUUUAAAUUUUAAGAUAGGGUCUUAUUAAUUGUUCAGGCUAAGCUCAAGCUUGCAAUCCCCCUGUGUGAGCCUCCCAGAGUGCUAAGAUUACUGGUGUGUGUUAUGAUGCCCAGCCUAGGUAGCAUCCUGAUUUUUUUUUUAAAGGCUAUAUAUGCAAUCACUUUAAAUGCUUAUCAGUAAAAUAAAAUAUAGAAAAUCAUUCUAAAGCUUUAUGUUAAAGAUUUUGAUCCCUAUCUUAUGGGUAUUAUUAGUUUUGAUAAAAGCAAAGAGGACAUAAAUAUCCUUAAUCAUGUAAAAUAAAGAAAAAU
rnacentral:lncRNA from 1 species